AUUAAUAGAUUAGAAAUUUAAUUCUAGUUUAUUAGGGAUAUUAAUUGAUGAAAUAUUAUAUGUAAGUUUUUGUGGGUGAAUUUUAAGGUAAGAUUUAAAUAAUCUUCUUUAUAUAUAGUAAUCGCAGUUUUUAAUUUUAAAAUUUUAUUUAGUAAUUUAAGAAUUGGUUAAUUAUUUUAAUGACUAGCAAAAUUUGUGCCAGCAGCUGCGGUUAAACAAUUGGUCAAAGUAUCUCUUAUCAAGUAUGUUAUUUAUUUAUAUAUUUAUUGAUAUUAUAGUUAUUUAUUUUUAGGUAAAAUUUAAAAAUUAAAUUAUAUGUUAGGUUAUAAAUUGUUAUAAGAAAUUUUAAUAAUAAAACUAGGAUUAGAUACCCUAUUAUUAUAAAAUGUAAAAAUUUUCUUUAAUAUUAUAAGUUAAGGUCUUUAAAUUGAAAGAAUUUGACGGUAAUUUUAAUCAUUUUAGAGGAACCUGUCCUAUAAUUGAUAAUCCACGAUAAAUCUUACCUGAAUUAUUAGCUUGUAUAUCUCUGUCUAAAUUUGAAUGUUUUAUUAAAAUGAUUUUCUUUUAUCUUUAUUAAGGUUUAUGUCAGGUCAAGGUGCAGUAAUAUUUAGGUUUGAGAUGGGUUACAUUUAAUUAUUAAUUAUUGGAUUAAUUUAUUUAUAUAAUUUAUAAAAUUGGAUUUAAUUGUAAUAAGUAUUAUAUUUUACUUUUGAUAUUUAGUUCUUGAUUAAGUACAUAUCGCCCGUCACUCUCAUUUUAAAAUGAGAUAAGUCGUAACAAAGUAGUUUUAUCGGAAGAUGAAGCUAGAAAUAUA
rnacentral:ncRNA from 1 species